UCACUGUUGUUAGCACUUUGCUAACGAUUAGCGCAGAGCAGCGGUCGAUACCGCGGCUUCAGGGACAGCUCACAGGCAGCUGGACGCGUCCUCGGAGAAGCAAACACCCACUCUGGAAUGAUCUGAGAGCCAAGCUGGUGUCAGAACCAGGAAAUAUCUGGGCUGGGUUUUGAAGAGCCAGAGUGGGAAAAGCUGGGCAACUCCCUGCCGCAAGGCGCUGGCACUUUCCUCUGUAUGCCGCUUGUCUGUCUAACUGUGUGUCUAACUGACUUUUAAACUUUUUGUGUUGUCCAUUUACCUGUCUUUUAACUUAACUUCCUCUCUGUUUACUUGUGGCCGGUCUUGUCUGUCUUGUUGCCUUUUAUUCUAUAUUACCUGUUUAUAUUGUUUGGUUUACUUUGGUUUUCUCUGCACCAGCUGGUAUCCAGAAGAGAAGCACUGCUGUGUAUGGGGUACUUUCAACUUUUGUAAAAACUAUAUCGACCCGAAUAUUAUACGAUGCUGUCUCACAGAAAAAGUUGGGGUUACCUUUAAAGACUGUACAUUUAUACACUGAAAAGCAGGUGUUUUGAAUGGAGUGAGUGAUGGCACAACACAGCUUGUACAGUUAAAAACAAUUAAUAAUUUG